rnacentral:rRNA from 14 species
GUUUAUGGCCAUAGCACCAUGAAAACGCUGAUAUCAUCUGAUCUUGAAAGGUAAGCAGGGCCGGGCCUGGUUUGUACUUGAAUUGGAGAGCAUAUGAUUUCUAAUCACUGACUAGAAACCAUAAAGU